rnacentral:rRNA from 1 species
AGUGAACGCUGGCGGUAGGCCUAACACAUGCAAGUCGAACGGCAGCACAGGAGAGCUUGCUCUCUGGGUGUCGAGUGGCGGACGGGUGUGGAAUACAUCUGAAUCUGCCCAGUCGUGGGGGAUAACUUAGGGAAACUUACGCUAAUACCGCAUACGACCUUCGGGUGAAAGAGCGGGAUCGCAAGACCUCUCUCGAGUGGAUUAUCCGUUGUCGCAUUAGCUAGUUGGCGGGGUAAUGGCUCACCAAGGCGACGAUCCGUAGCUGGUCUGAGAGGAUGAUCAGCCACACUGGAACUGAGACACGGUCCAGACUCCUACGGGAGGCAGCAGUAGGGAAUAUUGGACAAUGGGCGCAAGCCUGAUCCAGCCAUACCGCGUGAGUGAAGAAGGCCUUCGGGUUGUAAAGCCCUUUUGUUGGGAAAGAAAACUUUCAGGCUAAUACCCUGGGAGGAUGACGGUACCCAAAGAAUAAGCACCGGCUAACUUCGUG